CGGGGUGUGGCUCAGCUUGGCUAGAGCGCCUGGUUUGGGACCAGGAGGUCGCAGGUUCGAAUCCUGUCACCCCGAC
rnacentral:tRNA from 16 species